CUGAUGCCAUCUCCCAGCCUCUGCUUCUCCGCAGGCUUCCUGGAACACCCUCCGUGCCUCUGCAGAGUUCCUGGGCUGGAGGAGGCUCAGCUUCCUGGCUGAGACAGAGCAGGCACACCAGAUCAGAGAGUGCUUGAUAACGCACAAGAGGAACAGCGUGGACGAGUAUCUGCGCCAGAGCCUGCCCUACGUGGAGAACCCUCAGGCCACCGUGCGGGAGGAGGCCGUCAGGUUCAUCGGGCUUGCUGUGCGGCGCCGGAGUACCCUCAGCCAGGAGAGGGUGUGGCAGAUCUGCAACAGUGAGUAGGGGACAGCCUGGGCAGGAAAAUGCUCCAGGGGCAGAUGAGCGGUUUCAGAAAGUUGUUUGUGUCUUAACACAUAGGUUAGCAGGUUACUCUUUAGUAAGGUCUUGAAAUUGGAGGAAUUUUGUUUCCUCACCAAAAAGGAAGGGAAUCUGUGGGGAAAGAACAGCCGUCUCUGUCCUGCCCCUUGCCAGGAGGCUGAUGAUGUCCAGACUCCACACUGGGAUGC
rnacentral:lncRNA from 1 species